rnacentral:rRNA from 1 species
AGCGAACGCUGGCGGCAGGCCUAAAACAUGCAAGUCGAACGCCCGUAGCAAUACGGGAGUGGCAGACGGGUGAGUAACACGUGGGAACGUACCCUUUGGUUCGGAACAACACAGGGAAACUUGUGCUAAUACCGGAUAAGCCCUUACGGGGAAAGAUUUAUCGCCAGAGGAUCGGCCCGCGUCUGAUUAGCUUGUUGGUGAGGUAACGGCUCACCAAGGCUACGAUCAGUAGCUGGCUGAGAGGAUGAUCAGCCACACUGGGACUGAGACACGGCCCAGACUCCUACGGGAGGCAGCAGUUAGGAAUCUUGGACAAUGGGCGCAAGCCUGAUCCAGCCAUGCCGCGUGAGUGAUGAAGGCCUUAGGGUUGUAAAGCUCUUUCAGCGGGGAAGAUAAUGACGGUACCCGCAGAAGAA